UCCACCUCCCUCGGCUCCUCGCUGUCGCCACCUCCUCCCAGAUCCCCCUCUCGCUGACCCAGACCUCCCCCUCUGCCCCAACCUUAGAUCCAUCUCCAACCCCGCAAUCGGCCUCCCCCAUCCCUGCCGUCGCCGACCUCCUCAUCUCCCCAACCUAAGAUCCAUCCAUCCGCUGCCGCCCCGCCCCCUUCUCCCCCAGACCAGGCAAUCUCCUCUCCUCACGCAAUGGAGAGAGAGGCGCCGCCGCCUAGCAAGAACAGCAUCGCGGCUGGCUUGCUCGCCGGCGCGUGCAUGCGUGCUUCGAUGCACGGUGCUUCGUCGAGCUGGCCGGACCGCGCGCACGAGACUAGAGCAUGGAAGCCAUGGGGUCUUCAUCGGGGGAAGAGGAGGAGGAGUGCGUGCUGCCGAGCAGGCACCCGAAGCUGGUGAACGUGGCGCCGUGCCGCAGGCCGACAGGCCGGGCCGUGGUACGCGAUGCCGGACCUCAGGCUUCGCGGCCACCGCUUCGCCGUCCCACUCGACCACUCCUUCGCCGGCUCCCCCUCCGCGCCACACAUCACCGUGUUCACCCGCGAGGUCAUCACAGGUGGGAAAGAAUUGGUCCAUUUGCCUUAUCUGGUGUACCUACAAUGGGGGCCUGGAUAUGAAAGUCCUGGCCCCAUCGAAGCGAGUGGUUGGUGAAGAAGGCAUGCGAAGAAUACCGUGUGUUAUUGCUCGAUCAGCGAGGAAUAGGACUGUCAACACCAUUGACAACAUCAUCUCUUUCUCAAAUAAAAUCUGUAGCAGAGCAGGUGGAGUAUCUGAAGCAUUUCAGGGCAGAUAACAUAGUUAAGGAUGAAGAGUUUAUUCAUGAGCAUCUUGUACCAUAUGCCAAGGCUUGGACAAUUCUUGGACAGGUAUAGCUGACCCAUGGCUUUUAGUGGACAUGUUUCUUAAUUUUUGGUGCAAAAUAUGAUAUGGCUGGCUCUCAUAAGUUCAGUCUAACUAGUAGCUCCAACAGUUGAACAAACAAUCUCAAGAAGGUCAAGCCAAGACUACACAUACGAUCUAUCCUCCAUUAUGCGAGCCUGCACGUUCCCGUUCCAUUUACAUCAGCCAGGCUGUUGAUCCACCUUGUUGCAGUCAACAAAGUAGCAGACGGACAUGCCGGUUGUUGGUGCACUGCUGCAUAACACUGAUGCAUAUGUAUGCGACUUGGUCGCCGGCGGCGGUGUCUUGGUUCAGUGUCAACAUCUCAUCUACAGAGUAUAUGGCUACGACUUGAUGGGCACGUGGUGGACUUAUGUAAUAGUGACUUCAUUUGAUGUGUGUAUUUCUAUUAAUUUUAAGCUUCUGUUGCUGUGAAAAUGUACCUCACUGACCGUCUGUCUAUUCAUUGUGUACUUCUUGCAUGAGGAGGUGACUAGUGAUGCGGCGCGCGAAGCAGUAGUAGGGGAAGGGGGUCUCUUGCUCAAGGAGGCGAGGAGUAGGGGCAUGCCCAGCUAAAAGCCAUGUCCUGCUCGUGGGGCAGGGGCAGGAGGGGUCUGCUCCUCUGCUUCCAUUGCGAUCGCGGCAGGAGCAACGUUGCUGAUGGCGAUGGGUACGUGAUGGCGGCUAGUGUGGUGGAUGACCCAGAAUAUGUGGCCUCGCAAGUGAACAUGUAUGUAGCUUUCCUCAUCAAAUGCUUCUGUUUCUGCCUCAGCUACUAAGCCAAUAAACACCAAAUCUGGAAUGAGAAAGAGGAUGAGGCCUACUUGAUUGGUGUUUUAACCAUUUCGUCAUCCAUGAUGUGUGCAUUGAUUCCCACGAAUUAUAACCUGAUUUGAUGCUACCUUGUCUUUUUUUUAACUUGCAAGGAUUAAGGAUGUAAAGAAAAGUAAUUUUGUGUCUCGUAGAGAAUUGUCUUUAUUGUUGAUAGUGCUGUGUAAAUAGAAUAACUGAUUGUCUUUUGUAACUUAAUUUCCUUGCAUUUUCAA